AGGAGGCUUGCCUCCGAAGUGAGUGAUACCCAGCUUCCAGGAAAAGCCACUAAGCUUCAGCUGCACACGACCGUACCGCAAACCGACACUGGUGCGCGAGAUGAGUAUUCUCAGGCGCUUGAGAGAACUCGGGAGAAGGAACUCGGCAAAUUGACACCGUAACUUCGGAAGAAGGUGUGCCUUUAGUAGGUGAACCCGUACAGGGGGAGCCCAAUGAGGUUGCAAAGAAUCGGUGGCUGCGACUGUUUAAUAAAAACACAGCACUCUGCAAACACGAAAGUGGACGUAUAGGGUGUGACGCCUGCCCGGUGCUGGAAGAUUAAGUGAUGGGGUGCAAGCUCUUGAUCGAAGUCCCAGUAAACGGCGGCCGUAACUAUAACGGUCCUAAGGUAGCGAAAUUCCUUGUCGGGUAAGUUCCGACCUGCACGAAUGGCGUAACGAUGGCCACACUGUCUCCUCCCGAGACUCAGCGAAGUUGAAAUGUUUGUGAUGAUGCAAUCUCCCCGCGGAAAGACGGAAAGACCCCAUGAACCUUUACUGUAGCUUUGUAUUGGACUUUGAACGGAUCUGUGUAGGAUAGGUGGGAGGCUUUGAAGCAGGGUCGCUAGAUCUUGUGGAGCCAACGUUGAAAUACCACCCUGGUGCGUUUGAGGUUCUAACCUAGGCCCGUUAUCCGGGUCGGGGAUAGUGCAUGGUAGGCAGUUUGACUGGGGCGGUCUCCUCCCAAAGCGUAACGGAGGAGUUCGAAGGUACGCUAGUUACGGUCGGACAUCGUGACGAUAGUGCAAUGGCAUAAGCGUGCUUAACUGCGAGACUGACAAGUCGAGCAGAUGCGAAAGCAGGACAUAGUGAUCCGGUGGUUCUGUAUGGAAGGGCCAUCGCUCAACGGAUAAAAGGUACUCUGGGGAUAACAGGCUGAUACCGCCCAAGAGUUCAUAUCGACGGCGGUGUUUGGCACCUCGAUGUCGGCUCAUCUCAUCCUGGGGCUGUAGCCGGUCCCAAGGGUAUGGCUGUUCGCCAUUUAAAGAGGUACGUGAGCUGGGUUUAAAACGUCGUGAGACAGUUUGGUCCCUAUCUUCCGUGGGCGCUGCAGAUUUGAGGAAGCCUGCUCCUAGUACGAGAGGACCGGAGUGGACGCACCUCUGGUGUACCUGUUGUCACGCCAGUGGCAUUGCAGGGUAGCUAAGUGCGGAAGAGAUAACCGCUGAAAGCAUCUAAGCGGGAAACUCGUUUCAAGAUGAGAUCUGCCGGGGCCUUGAGCCCCCUGAAGAGUCGUUCUAGACCAGGACGUUGAUAGGCUGGGUGUGGAAGCGCAGUAAUGCGUUAAGCUAACCAGUACUAAUUGCUCGUGCGGCUUGACCCU
rnacentral:rRNA from 1 species